UACGUAGGCAGCAAGCGUUGUUCGGAGUUACUGGGCGUAAAGGGUGUGUAGGCGGUUGUUUAAGUUUGGUGUGAAAUCUCCCGGCUCAACUGGGAGGGUGCGCCGAAUACUGAAUGACUUCGAGUGCGGGAGAGGAAAGUGGAAUUCCUGGUGUAGCGGUGAAAUGCGUAGAUAUCAGGAGGAACACCGGUGGUGUAGACGGCUUUCUGGACCGUAACUGACGCUGAGACACGAAAGCUAGGGGAGCAAACAGG
rnacentral:rRNA from 1 species